UUCCAUGUUUGAUAGUUUUGUCGUAUAAUUGGCUAAAUAUGGUGGCCAGAGUUUCUACCGCAAUACCGUAAAUAUUGCGACUACGAUGAGCAACUUUUCUUUU
rnacentral:ncRNA from 2 species